UUUUUAUGCCCCACCUACGAUAGUAGAGGGGCAUUAUGUUUUCUGGUCUGUGCCUCCGUUCGUUCGUCCGUCUGUGCGUCCGUUCGCUUCAUUUUGAAGUUUUUGGUCAAGGUAGUUUUUGAAGAAGUUGAAGUCCAAUCAACUUGAAACUUAGUACACAUGUUCCCCAUGAUAUGAUCUUUCUAAUUUUAAUGCCAAAUUAUAGUUUUGACCCCAAUUUCAUGGUCCACUGAACAUAGAAAAUGAUAGUGCGAAGUUCAGGUUAAAGUUUUU
rnacentral:lncRNA from 1 species